UUAGAGGUUGUGGUCUUGAACCGUGGCUUCUGGAGCUAACGCGUUAAAUCGACCGCCUGGGGAGUACGGCCGCAAGGUUAAAACUCAAAUGAAUUGACGGGGGCCCGCACAAGCGGUGGAGCAUGUGGUUUAAUUCGAUGCAACGCGAAGAACCUUACCUACUCUUGACAUCCAGCGAAUCCUUUAGAGAUAGAGGAGUGCCUUCGGGAACGCUGAGACAGGUGCUGCAUGGCUGUCGUCAGCUCGUGUUGUGAAAUGUUGGGUUAAGUCCCGCAACGAGCGCAACCCUUAUCCUUUGUUGCCAGCACGUAAUGGUGGGAACUCAAAGGAGACUGCCGGUGAUAAACCGGAGGAAGGUGGGGAUGACGUCAAGUCAUCAUGGCCCUUACGAGUAGGGCUACACACGUGCUACAAUGGCAGAUACAAAGAGAAGCGACCUCGCGAGAGCAAGCGGAACUCAUAAAGUCUGUCGUAGUCCGGAUUGGAGUCUGCAACUCGACUCCAUGAAGUCGGAAUCGCUAGUAAUCGUAGAUCAGAAUGCUACGGUGAAUACGUUCCCGGGCCUUGUACACACCGCCCGUCACACCAUGGGAGUGGGUUGCAAAAGAAGUAGGUAGCUUAACCUUCGGGAGGGCGCUACCA
rnacentral:rRNA from 1 species